UACGUAGGGUGCGAGCGUUAAUCGGAAUUACUGGGCGUAAAGCGUGCGCAGGCGGUUUUGUAAGACAGGCGUGAAAUCCCCCGAGCUCAACUUGGGAAUUGCGCUUGGGACUGCAAGGCUAGAGUGUGUCAGAGGGGGGUAGAAUUCCACGUGUAGCAGUGAAAUGCGUAGAGAUGUGGAGGAAUACCGAUGGCGAAGGCAGCUUGCUGGCAUGUAUCUGACGCUAAGGCACGAAAGCGUGGGGAGCGAACAGG
rnacentral:rRNA from 1 species